UUCGCCCUUGGUUGAUCCUGCCGGACCUCACUGCUAUCGGGGUGGGACUAAGACAUGCGAGUCGAGCGUCUCUAGCUAUGUUGAGACGCGGCAGACGGCUCAGUAACACGUGGCUAACCUACCUUCAGGACGAGGGUAAACCCGGGAAACUGGGGCUAAUACUCGAUAGGUGAGGAUGUCUGGAAUGACUUCCCAUCCAAAGGGCAUUGGAAACAUGCUUUCAAUGUCGCCUGGGGAUGGGGCCGCGUCCGAUCAGGUUGUUGGUGAGGUAACGGCUCACCAAGCCUAUAACCGGUACGGGCCGUGAGAGCGGUAGCCCGGAGAUGGGUACUGAGACAAGGACCCAGGCCCCACGGGGCGCAGCAGUCGCGAAAACUCCGCAAUGCACGAAAGUGUGACGGGGCUACCCCGAGUGCCAUCCGCUGAGGGUGGCUUUUCUUUGGUAUAACUAGCCAUGGGAAUAAGGAGAGGGCAAGACUGGUGUCAGCCGCCGCGGUAAUACCAGCUCUCCGAGUGGUAGGGAUGAUUAUUGGGCUUAAAGCGUCCGUAGCCGGCUUAGCAAGUCUCCUGUUAAAUUCAGCGACCUAAUCGUUGACCCGCGGGAGAUACUACUAGGCUAGGAGGCGGGAGAGGUCGACGGUACUUCUGGGGUAGGGGUGAAAUCCUAUAAUCCCGGGAGGACCACCAGUGGCGAAGGCUGUCGACUAGAACGCGCUCGACGGUGAGGGACGAAAGCUGGGGGAGCGAACCGGAUUAGAUACCCGGGUAGUCCCAGCCGUAAACGAUGCGAGCUAGG
rnacentral:rRNA from 1 species